rnacentral:ncRNA from 10 species
UACGUUCAUCCUUAUGGGACGGAAGUAGGGGAUUAUCCCCGAAGGAACGCAUA